rnacentral:rRNA from 1 species
GGAAUCUUUCACAAUGGGCGAAAGCCUGAUGGAGCAACGCCGCGUGCAGGAUGACGGCCUUCGGGUUGUAAACUGCUUUUAUAAGCGAGAAAUAUGAUGGUAACUUAUGAAUAAGGACCGGCUAACUACGUGCCAGCAGCCGCGGUCAUACGUAGGGUCCAAGCAUUAUCCGGAUUGACUGGGUGUAAAGAGUUGCGUAGGUGGCAGGGUAAGUAGAUAGUGAAAUCUGGUGGCUCAACCAUUCAGACUAUUAUCUAAACUGCUCCGCUCGAGAGCGUUAGGGGUAGCUGGAAUUUCUAGUGUAGGAGUGAAAUCCGUAGAUAUUAGAAAGAACACCGAUAGCGUAGGCAGGCUACUGGGACGUUUCUGACACUAAGGCACGAAAGCGUGGGGAGCAAACG